rnacentral:rRNA from 1 species
AUUGAACGCUGGCGGCAGGCCUAACACAUGCAAGUCGAGCGGAUGAAGGGAGCUUGCUCCUGGAUUCAGCGGCGGACGGGUGAGUAAUGCCUAGGAAUCUGCCUGGUCGUGGGGGAUAACGUCCGGAAACGGGCGCUAAUACCGCAUACGUCCUGAGGGAGAAAGUGGGGGAUCUUCGGACCUCACGCUAUCAGAUGAGCCUAGGUCGCAUUAGCUAGUUGGUGGGGUAAAGGCCUACCAAGGCGACGAUCCGUAACUGGUCCGAGAGGAUGAUCAGUCACAUUGGAAGUGAGAAAGGGUCCAGACUCUUACGGUGGGCAGCAGUGGGGAAUAUUGGACGAGGGGGGAAAGCCGGAUACAGCAAUGCCGGGUGUGGGAUGAAGGUGUUAGGACUGGAAAGCACUUUAAGUUGGGAGGAAGUGCAGUAAGUUUAUACCUUGCUGUAUUGACGGUACCAAGAGAAUAAGCACCGGCUAACUUCGUG